rnacentral:rRNA from 1 species
GACGAACGCUGGCGGCGUGCUUAACACAUGCAAGUCGAACGGAAAGGCCCUGCUUUUGUGGGGUGCUCGAGUGGCGAACGGGUGAGUAACACGUGAGUAACCUGCCCUUGACUUUGGGUUAACUUCAGGAAACUGGGGCUAAUACCGGAUAGGAGCUCCUGCUGCAUGGUGGGGGUUGGAAAGUUUCGGCGGUUGGGGAUGGACUCGCGGCUUAUCAGCUUGUUGGUGGGGUAGUGGCUUACCAAGGCUUUGACGGGUAGCCGGCCUGAGAGGGUGACCGGCCACAUUGGGACUGAGAUACGGCCCAGACUCCUACGGGAGGCAGCAGUGGGGAAUAUUGCACAAUGGGCGGAAGCCUGAUGCAGCAACGCCGCGUGCGGGAUGACGGCCUUCGGGUUGUAAACCGCUUUCGCCUGUGACGAAGCGUGAGUGACGGUAAUGGGUAAAGAAGCACUGGCUAACUACG